rnacentral:misc_RNA from 1 species
ACCAGCACCUGAUUCAGAACCAAAUCCUAGUGGAGAUCCCUCUUUUGAAUUAGCUCCAAAUGAGAAUGUAGUAUUUGCGAACCCAGUUCCUGCAAGUCCUGUGAAAGCAUUUUGGCUACUGGAGAGCUGUUGAAACGAGCCAAAAGAUGCAGUUUCAGCAUCCUUGUCAUUUUUUCCACCGCCAACAUGUUUUUUCAUUUCAUUUUCCGUCUUAUUGCCUUCCACUUCUAUGUCAUCUGCACUCUUCUCCACUACAGUGACCGUCUCAGUGUCAUCUUUAAUAUUUUCACUUCCCACUGCCUUCUUUUCAGUAGAUUCAGGUUUGUUAGGCUCAUUAGGAUUAUCAACUUUCUCCUUAUCAACAUUAGCAUCAGCUGUAGACUCAGAUUUGCUUUUGGGUAGCUUAGAAUUUUUGUCACUUUCCUUCUCAUGAUUAGCUUCCUUACUCACAUCUGUUUCUUCCUUUUUAAUUCCCUCACUUUGAUCAUUUGAAUCUUCUGUUUUUUUGGUAGUUGUUGUCCCAUUCCCAGCUUCAGUUGUGGUCACAGCAGGAGUACUGGUAUUAGCAGGUAGAACCAAUUGGAUCGCCGCAAAAGGGUUAGAAGAAGGAGUAGUUGUAGUCGAAGCUGUUUUACGAACUUUGACAAUUCUCCGAUUUGCCAUCACCUCAUCACUUGCUCUCUUGAAAGUUCCAUUCUCCUGUUCAGAUGACUCAUUAUCAUCAUCAAGACCAGGAUUAUCUCGUGAUAGUUCCUUUACAGCAGCCCUUUUCUUUGAUGGUUGAAGA